rnacentral:rRNA from 1 species
CCUACGGGAGGCAGCAGUGAGGAAUAUUGGUCAAUGGCCGGAAGGCUGAACCAGCCAUGCCGCGUGAAGGUCAGUGCCCUAUGGGCGUUAAACUUCUUUUGUGCGGGAGCAAUAAUGGUCACGUGUGGCCAGACGAGAGUACCGUACGAAUAAGCAUCGGCUAACUCCGUGCCAGCAGCCGCGGUAAUACGGGGGAUGCAAGCGUUAUCCGGAUUUAUUGGGUUUAAAGGGUGCGUAGGCUGGGAGGUAAGUCAGCGGUGAAAUGCCCCGGCUCAACGGGGUGAAGUGCCAUUGAUACUGCCUGGCUGGAAUGCGGAUGCCGUGGGAGGAAUGUGUGGUGUAGCGGUGAAAUGCAUAGAUAUCACACAGAACACCGAUUGCGAAGGCAUCUCACGAAUCCGCGAUUGACGCUGAUGCACGAAAGCGUGGGUAUCAAACAGGAUUAGAUACCCCAGUAGUC